rnacentral:lncRNA from 1 species
UUACAGGCGCGUGCCACCAGGCCUGGCUAAUUUUUGUAUUUUUAGUAGAGACGAGGUUUCACCAUGUUGGUCGUCAGGCUGGUCUCGAACUCCUGACCUUGUGAUCUGCCUACCUCGGCCUCCCAAAGUGCUGGGAUUAUAGGUGUGAGCCACCACGCCCGCCCUGAAACUGCUUUCUGAAGCAGCCACAGGCCCCAGGAGUGAGGGAGCCCCGGGACUGGGAAGUGGGGAUCACU